rnacentral:rRNA from 1 species
UACGUAGGGGGCAAGCGUUGUCCGGAUUUAUUGGGCGUAAAGAGCGUGUAGGCGGCCUUACAGGUCAGCUGUGAAAACUCGAGGCUCAACCUCGAGACGUCGGUUGAAACCGUAUGGCUAGAGUCCGGAAGAGGAGAGUGGAAUUCCUGGUGUAGCGGUGAAAUGCGCAGAUAUCAGGAAGAACACCUAUGGCGAAGGCAGCUCUCUGGGACGGUACUGACGCUGAGACGCGAAAAAGCGUGGGGGAGCAAAACAGG